GAGGUGUUAGUAAAACAGAUUACCUAGUCUUGUCAAGACUAAAUUACAGGUGAAACCCCAGUACACCUCU
rnacentral:tRNA from 1 species